rnacentral:lncRNA from 1 species
GGCCAACUUUCAUGUGGAUCACUAUUGAAAGACUUUCUACUUUGGAGUCUCAUGGAGAACACCAACGUGCCACUUCUUUUUUUUGAUGAAAAUAAAAAAUUCUAACUUUUUUGCAUGCUUGUUUUUUGUUUUAUCGAUAUCAACAAGGUGAUUCUAGGGUUUGGAUUCUGACUCGAUAGUUUUAUUUGAUAAAGCUAUUGAUUUAUUUAUUUUUAAAAUUUUUAAAAUUAUUUUUUACUGUGUGGUCAGAACCCAACAUCUUCAUAUUUUUUCAUGAGAAGAGA